rnacentral:lncRNA from 1 species
AGAGCAGGAGCAUACGGACAGAGGAGAGGCAGAAGCCAGGCUCUGCAGGGCUGUGGAAGCUGGAGAAGUAGGUGGUCCCAGAGUCCCACACCCAUGGGGGUCCAGGAAGUUAGGCUGAGGUGAGGUCAACUGCUCUGUGUGUGGGAGCCAGAGAAGAAAGCAGCACAGAACAAAUGCAAACCAAGGAGGCUGGAAGAUAAGAGCAGAGCCAUCAGGACCCAAGCCCCUCGGGGCGUUUCAGAGCUUCCUGUGUGCAGCAUGGAUCUAAAGCUGGUGGAUGCAGGGGGGUGAACAAGACAACAUCUUCACUUCCUGCAUGCUGAUGGCGGAAGUGAGACAUCAGCGAAGAAACAUCACGAUCACCAAAUUAUGAUGAACACCAUGGAGAAAACAAAGGACACUGUGACACCAAGGAAGGAAGGGAAGUUACUUUUCAUAGUGGCUGUAAAUAGAACUGAAGGCUGAAAAAGAGCUGUUAAAAUGGCUUGUUUGAAGAUGAAUGAGAGUAUAUAAUAAAAGGAAAAAAUUUGGACACAGACACACACAGAGGGAUGACCACGUGGAGACGCAGGGAGAGGAUAGCAGCUACAGGCCAGGGCGAGAGGCUUCAGAGGAAACCAGCCCUGCUGACUCUUUGAAGUCGGACUCCCAGCCUCCAGAACUGAACCACCGUCUUCCUUUAUCCCAGGAUGUCUGCAAGGAAGAAAAUGUCCCUUUUCUAGCAUUUAGAGGCCACCAACAUUGAAUAACCACACUGGGAUAGACACAGCGGGGAAAAGAUUCCUGCUGUUCCCAUCACAGCAGCCUUGGAGAUGAGGAGACAGAUGGAUCUGACCAGAAGUCUGGAGAACUUCGAGAAAAAAGGAGGAGGACACAAAGGGAAAUAAGUAAAAAGAUAUGUCUGGAGCAACUAUGAGGAUGGCAAAUUGGUGUCUAAUUCUGAAAAUCAUAAUUGGUAUAAAUGCUAUGCACUGUGGAAGGAGGGAUGAAAGGUAGAGGGAAUAAAAAAGAACAUGAAGUCAGAAUCCUUGGCACGAAAGCCUGCCGUUU